CUGCCUCCAGAGCAUUUCUCCUCUCCCUCUCGCCCUUCUCAGGAUGCCCAGGCUGUUCUGGCAGGACGCCUCCCCUCUGUAAGGUGGCGUUCUCUGAACUCCUCCUUCUAACGCUCUUCCUUUUCCUUCCCGCCUCUCCCCCAUGCAGGAUGCCUUUGUGGAGCUGUAUGGCCCCAGCGUGCGGCCCCUGUACGACUUCUCCUGGCUGUCUCUGAAGACUCUGCUCAGCCUGGCCCUGGUGGGAGCCUGCAUCACCCUGGGUGCCUACCUGGGCCACAAGUGAAGUCUGCAGGCCUGCCCCAAACAAAUAUGCAAAAGGUUCACUAAAGCAGUAGACAUGAUAUGCAUCAUCAGUGAUGCAUCAUGAAGUUACGGUAUCUUUAAAGGAAAGCAAAUACAACACACACACACACGCGCGUGCACACACACACACACACAGCUUUCAGGCAAAACGUCGAAUCAGCUAUUUACUGCCAAAGGGAAAUAUCAUUUAUUUUUUACAUUAUUAAGAAAAAAGAUUUAUUUAUUUAAGACAGUCCCAUCAAAACUCCCAUCUUUGGAAACCCGACAACUAAUUGCCAAGGAUCACUUCCUGCGGUUCCACCUGUUGGUGUGCCCCAAAACCAGAGUGAUUUUCCACGUUGAGUGGACUAGCCCGUCAUGUGAACAGCAAACGGAUGGACAAGGAAACUGACCGCCGAGAAGCCGGGGUUCUGGCUGCUGGAGGUUGGGCCGAAGGCAUUCCUUCGACUUGCAUUUAUGGGUCCUGGGGGCUGUGACAUUACAGAGGCAGGGUGCUUCGAGGGAAGUCCAUUUGUCCCUGGCCUAAAGAACAGACACUUUGCAUGUGACUCACAUGGUACAUAGCCAGUCAGAGGACAGAAACUGGGAACUUGAGAUAGAUGUGGUGCCCGCGGAGACUUCCCCGCCGAAGGACAGUGGUGAGAAAAAUGCCCUUAAACCAUAGGAAAGUAUUUUUUUAAGCUACCAAUUGUGCCGAGAAGCAUUUUAGCAGUUUAUACAAGAUCAUCCAGUACCUUAAGCCCUGAUUGUGUCUAUUCAUAUAUUUUGGAUACACGCCCCCUCUACAUCCUGGCUCUGUCUGAGCAGGAACCAGAAUCCUCUGCAUUCAAGGAGGUGGAUGUUUCGGUGACUUCUUGGGCAUCAGGAAGGCGGCAGUCACCCAGAGCAUCAGGCAGCCACAAGUGCCUGCGUUUAAGAGACUGACUCCUGCAGAACCUCCCUGUGUCCCCGCCUGGAGGCCAAAGGCUGAGCUUGGGCACUUGCUGGUCUCCUCGGAGGUGUUCAGCAGAGCAGCGUGGCCUCCCCGUGUGGGAGCUGACGGAGCUGUCAAGAAAGAGCAAUAGUGGGACUAGCCAGGCCUCACGCCCUCCCAGUUGGUCCCUUUCCACCUGGGGCGUGGAAGGGGGAUCCCGGGAGCCACGCCCCUUCUGAAGACAUUGGUCCCCGAGGAAGGAAGGAAACGGCCCUGUGCCUUUCCUAGCAGAGGGACAUGCUGAGGGCUGGGGCCGCAGCCCCCACAGGUGUGAGGGAAGGAGAAGGCUGAGGCCCUUUAGGCUGCUGCACAGGGCGUGGUGGCCCCAGCUUGUCUGGGUAGUUUAAAGCAAGGCUUUCAAUGACUUUGGGGAGGGUCGUAAGUCCUAAAGGAAGAGAGGUAAAAUGAGUUGAAAAGAGGUGCCAUGGGUUAAUUGCUCUAUGUCUAUGGAUUUACAUGUAAAACAUUAUCUUGUCAUUGUCGAUUGGUUUUAUUUGAAAACCUUAUGGGUGGUGGGGGUGGGGUGGGGGAAGCUCCAGGUGUAGAAUGUGGGAAUUAUCUGCACAUCCUGGGGCAUUAAAAUAAAUGAAGAAAAAAAAAAAAAGGUGGUAAACUAUAGAGAACUAGCAAAAGAAGUGAGAUCUCUGGAUAAUAAACUAGAAAAUAUUUUUUUUCCAAGUUUAGAAUCAGCCAGGAGGCACUGGUGGAAUAACUUUGUGGCAUUAUCACUUAUAUACCAUUUAUCUGUGUUAACUAUGGAAUGUACUAUUCAAUGUUUAAUGCUGUGGUCGAUAUUUCGAAAGCUGCUUUUUAAGAAAAUACAUGCAUCUCAGCAUUUUUUAAAACUCCUAUUUAGUUAUCGCCUCUACACUCUUUUAACAAAAGUGAUGAUUUUCCAUAUGAGAUUUCUUUUAUUUUUUUUUUUUUUGUCUUUUGAUUCUUCAGAAGCAUUUGUGAAGAGGUGGGCUAAGCCUGAGUCUCGGCUACAUAAGAAGCCCUGGAUGUCACUGGCACCGAGGAGCUUGGUGUUCACCAAGUCAUGUGCAUUUCUGUGCAUUCCUGGUGGAUAAGUCUGUUGUGCUUUGACCUUGUCUCUUGAAGGUCGACUUGCUCCUGGGCAAUUCGGCAUCUGGACGCAUGUUACCUAAGAUCACAGGCGUGUUUGGUUAAACCUGAGAGCUUCAUUCAUUUGAAAACCCAGAUGGGAAAUGAGCAAAGGAUGAGAAUCUGGCUGCGACGGUUUGACCUUUAGAGAGCUGCUUUAUGUGUCCUGUUUCCAUGCAGACCUACCCAAAGCCCUCCCGCUCUCCUUCCACAGGGCCCUUCUCUGUGGCUGUCCUUCAGGCCCUUCCUGAAACCCAGUGGCGCUCACACUUCACCCAGAAAGCAAGAGCCCUGUGGUGUGGAGCCACACCUCCCUGGUGGGCCUCAGGGAACAAGAGGACCAGACCUUUGAAUGAUCCUGAUUCUUAAGUGAAAUAUUAUUUUAUGAAAGGUUUACAUUCUCCAGGUGAUGAAUAUGGAAAAUCAAACCCUGUGCUGCUAUCCUGCCAAGAGCAUCUUAAUGGAGUCUGUUUCCAGCUCACUCCAAGUGGCGAGACCCUCUGAGCUGCUUUAGAAGUAACAAUGAAGAACGUGGAUAUUUUUAAUAUAAAACCUGUUUGUCUUUUGUUGUUGUUGUUAUUGUUCAAACUGGGAUUUGCAGAGUAUUUGAAAAAAUGUAUAUAUAUAUAUAUAUAUAUUAAAAAAAAGGUCACAGCGGCCUAACGUUGGUUUUCUUUGGCUCUGGGGUUUUGUCAUCUGGUUUUAAAGGUAAACAUACGCAGUCACCUGACCCCAGAACUGUACAAGUAUUGCAGCUAAACUCAAUAUAAGAAUAGUUCGUUUUGCAUUUUUUCUUGUUGUUAAAAACAUGUUAGAAAGCAAUGAAUGUAUAUGAAAGCCUCAUCUAGUCAUUUCUUUCUUUCUUUUUUGUCUCAAAUUAUUUUGCAAACGGACAACAGAGACUGGUUCUGAUACCCUUCGUGUUGAGAAGGGAUUCACACCUCGAUCUGAGCCCCCCUUUCUGCAUGAGAAGGAAUGUGCUCUAAGUUGCCCAGGGUGAACAUAAAGUAGAACACACACACUUCCCAAAUUGGGAUCCAAGACUCUAAAAAGGAACCCACCAGAAGAAGGUCCCAGAACCUUCCAGGGCUCCCGAAGCCUUCCUGCAUGGGCACUGUUUCUGAAAGAGAGACCCAAAGGACUGCUCGUAUAUGCUGUAGCCAGCAGUUCACCUGGAAGAUUCUGCAGGAGCUGACAUUUCUGUAGGCUUAAGAAUCGGAUUAAAACCACAUUUUAGAAAUAAGGAAGUCCCUUUAUAUGUUUGAGCAAAACACCAACAUCCUCUGCCCCGCUCACCUGUCUCUGCAUGCUCAGGUGUGGCCGGCCUUCCUUCAUAUGUGACUUUUAGGUAAAUGCUUAUUGCUUACCAUCUAAAGGCCUGGCUCUGGCCCAGUGGGAACAUUAAAGAAAGUGCUUAUAAAUCAAGAGGAGUUAAUAACAAUCAAGAUUAAAUGUAAAUAAUUAUGGCAAUCCCAACACAGGUCUAGCUUUCACAUCAAGUAUACCAGAUGGAAAAAAGGGCAAGGAGUCUACACUUAGGAUUCAACUUGUACUAAAAUAAUUUAUUAAUGUGACCUUCAACUCUAAUUCCAAUUGUACUUUGAAGGUAGUGGCUGUUUUUAUACUUUCUUAUCACUUAGAGUUAGUAAUGUACACCUACUCUAUCAGGAAAAAACAGGAAGGGCUUGAAAUACAAGCCAGUCUAAGGAAAUUAGGGAGUCAGUUGAAAUUCUAUCUGAUCUUACUCUGUGGUGUCUGUUGCAGUCCAGACAAAUGUGGUUGCACACUUUUUUAAGAAAUACAGUUCUACAUUGUCAGGCUUUUGAAGGUUCCAGUCAGAUCUGUAUUGUUAUUCAAUUUGGAUCUUUCAGGGAUUUUUUUUUUAAUUAUUAUUAUUACAAGACAAAGAACAUUUGUUAUGAGGGUGGGAGGGAAGAAGAAUUUUUAAAUGUGCAUAACAUUCCCAAGCUUGGACCAGGGAGUCGAGUUUUUCAGAAUAGCCAGAACUGUGGCGUAUGAGGCACUUUUACUGGGGUCGGUUGACGCCUCUGCAAAGGCCCUUAAUGCAGCAAAUGAGAAACAGUUUUACAGUUCUGUGGUAUUCAGAUCCCAGAGGCAGUGGCAUGGUUCAAAGUCAGCUCAGCUCAGCAACGCAGGGGUACACAUUUCAAGCUGGAUAUGGCCAACGGGUAUAUAAGCAAUAAAUUUACAGUUUUAACCAACAGGAUAUUUAAUGACAACCUUCUGGUUGGUAGGGACAUCUGUUUCUAAGUGUUUAUUAUGCACAAUGCAGAAAAAAAAAUUUUAAUAAAAUUAAAUAAAACAAUGUGAAACUGAAUUGGGUAAAUGAUCAUCGAAGGCCCUUAGCCUUACCCAAUGUAUGGUUCUAUUCCGUGUCUUUGGACAACCAUGAAAUAUGCAUCUUACUGGACACCCAGAAAACCAGAUGGAGUACAAAUGGUAUUAUAUAAUUCAUCAGGAUGGUACCGGUUCAUCAGGACUGUCCCAGAAAAUAACUUAAAGCCAAAGUUCUGUGGAUGACAAGGUUGUUCUGAGUUCCAAGCUCAGCAUGGAAGAUGGGAACACCCCUAGAAGAUGGAAAGGCUAGUUCAUCAGAAAUCGCGGGACUGUGAACUAAUAUGACUGUAGUGUAGAUGCUCUCUAAGGCCACGCACCUUGCCAUUUGGGAAAUCUGCAGCGGACCCUCCAGCCAGCUCAUUUUAUUAAGUUUUUCUCCUCCAAGAUAGCAUCUGAAGAAUCGACAGCUGAUUAAAUUUAUUUGGGGGAAGCUUCUUUUUUUCCCGGUGGUUGUGUUUAUUUUAAUAUCUUAGUUUUCAACCAAGUUGUACUUUUGUUUGGAAUUACGGGGGUUAUUUUUGUUUUAAGUAAUAUAAGUAUGCAAUAAGUUUUUUUGUAUCAAAAGCUUUUGUUAUCAAGAUUUUCAUACUGUUACCUUUCAUGGGCUGCUUUUCAGAUGGAUAUAUUUUAGGGGUAGCUGAUAUCUGCAACACUGUAUAUACAAAAAAAUAUGAUAAGCCUACUUUGCAUACUUAAGGUUGGCUUCCAUUAAAUAUAAUGGCACUUUGUGUUGUAGGAAAAUGUCACAUUGCUAUUCAACUUUCCUUGUCUGUCCAGUUAAUUUUGUGAAGAAAAAUAAAGUACAGUGUGAGAUAUUGGUUGUGCCCCAAAUUGUUUA
rnacentral:lncRNA from 1 species